CCUACGGGAGGCUGCAGUAGGGAAUCUUUCACAAUGGGCGAAAGCCUGAUGGAGCAACGCCGCGUGCAGGAUGAAGGCCUUCGGUUUGUAAACUGCUUUUAUAAGCGAGAAAUAUGAUGGUAACUUAUGAAUAAGGAUCGGCUACCUACGUGCCAGCAGCCGCGGUCAUACGUAGGAGCCGAGCAUUAUCCGGGGUGACUGGGUGUAAAGAGUUGCGUAGGUGGCAUAGUAAGUAGCUAGUGAAAUCGGGUGGCUCAACCAUUCAGACUAUUAGCUAAACUGCUAAGCUCGAGACCGUUAGGGGUAACUGGAAUUUCUAGUGUAGGAGUGAAAUCCGUAGAUAUUAGAAGGAACACCGAUAGCGUAGGCAGGUUACUGGGACGGUUCUGACACUAAGGCACGAAAGCGUAGGGAGCAAACGGGAUUAGAUACCCUUGUAGUC
rnacentral:rRNA from 1 species